rnacentral:rRNA from 1 species
UACGUAGGGUGCGAGCGUUGUCCGGAAUUACUGGGCGUAAAGAGCUCGUAGGCGGUUUGUCGCGUUGUUCGUGAAAUCUCACGGCUUAACUGUGAGCGUGCGGGCGAUACGGGCAGACUAGAGUCCGGUAGGGGACCACGGAAUUCCUGGUGUAGCGGUGAAAUGCGCAGAUAUCAGGAGGAACACCGGUGGCGAAGGCGGGUCUCUGGGCCGAUACUGACGCUGAGGAGCGAAAGCGUGGGGAGCGAACAGG